AGAGCUUCAAUUAGACUCUCCAAGCAAUCUCUAGGGUCACCUGAAACUGCCUUCGGCAUCAAAUGCUCCGCCACAUCCGCCGGAGUGAUCGCCGUUUCACUUAUUAGCUUCUCAAUCUUCGAAAACAGAGGAUGCCGUUCAAUCUUCAGGUAAUUCUUCGCCAGUACCUUGAACGCUUCAAAUCCACAGAACGACAUUUCUAUAUGCUUAUCCAUUCUUCCUUUUCUAAUCAGUGCUGGAUCCAGUUUCUCGACAUAGUUCGUCGUGAAGACUAUCAGUCUUUCUCCUCCACAUGCCGACCAGAGUCCGUCUAUGAAGUUCAGAAGCCCCGAAAGCGUCACUUCGCUGGGGUUUGUAUCACUAAUUUCUCUCAUCAUCAUUCUUUUUAUUGGAUCCUUGUCUAUAUCUUUUUUUCCUUUCUCGGUUUUGUUUGUCCGUUGGCCUGUGAGAUCGAGGGAACAAUCAAUGUCCUCGAUUACGACGACGGAUUUGCUUGAUAUUUCCGUAAGUAAUCUCCUCAAUUCUAGGUUGUUUUUUACGGACGUUAAUUCGAGAUCGUAAAUGUCGUACCCUAAAAGAUUCGCCAUCGCCGCUAUCAUCGUUGAUUUUCCAGUUCCUGGUGGACCGUACAGGAGAUAUCCUCUUUUCCAAGCCCUACCGAUUUCUUUGUAAAAUUCCUCCGCCUGACUGAACGCAAUUAGGUCAUCCAUUAUC
rnacentral:lncRNA from 1 species